rnacentral:rRNA from 1 species
UACAGAGGGUGCGAGCGUUGUCCGGAAUCACUGGGCGUAAAGGGCGCGUAGGCGGCCUGGCAAGUCUGUGGUGAAAGCUCGUGGCUCAACUGCGAGUCGGCCAUAGAUACUGCGAGGCUCGAGUCGACUAGAGGCAGAUGGAAUUCCGGGUGUAGCGGUGAAAUGCGUAGAUAUCGAGAGGAACACCUGCGGCGAAGGCGGGUUGCUGGGCUGACACUGACGCUGAGGCGCGAAAGCUAGGGGAGCGAACGGG